AAUGCCAAGGAAUGGGACUGCUGGAUCAUACAAUAGUUCUAUUUUUUGUUCUUUUAAGGAAUUUCUGUAUGGUUCUCUAUAGUGGUUAUAUCUAUUUACAUUUCUACCAACAGUGUAGAAGGGUUUCUUUUUCUCCACACCCUCUCUACUUAUUGUUUGUAGACAUUUUGAUGAUGGCCAUUCUGCCCAUUGUGAGUGAAAUCUCAUUAGAGUUUUGAUUGGGAUUUUUCUAAUAAUUGGUGAUGUUGAGCAUCUUUUCAUGUGCUCUUGACCAUCUGUAUGUCUUCUUUGGAUACAUGUCUAUUUAGAUCUUCUGUCCAUUUUUUGAUAGGAUUUCUUGGGGUUUUUUGAUAAUGAGCUAAAUGAGCUAUAUGGAUAUUUUGGAGAUUAAUCUCUUGUUAGUUUCUUUAUUUGCAAAUAUUUUCUCCCAUUCUGUGGGUUUUUCUUUCAGUUUGUUGAUGAUUUCCUUUGCUGUGACAAAGCUUUUAAGCUUAAUUAGGUUCCAUUUCUUUACUUCUGCUCUUAUUUUCAUUGAUCACUGAAAUCAAAGAGGAAAUUUAAAAAAUACCUAGAGACAAACAAAAAUGAAAACAAAAAGACCCUAAACCUAUGGGCCCCAGCAAAAGCAGUUCUAAGAGAGUUAUAGCAUAACCAUCUUACCUCAGGAAGCAACAAAAAAAAUAUCAAGUAAACAACUUAAGCUUAUACCUAAAGCAACUAGAGAAAGAAGAACAAACAAAACCCAAAGUUAGUAGAAAAAAAAAAUUAAAAGAACAGAUCAAAAAUAAGUGAAAUAGAGGAGAACAAUAGAAAAGAUCAAUGAAACUAAAAGUGGUUUUUUGAAAAUAAAUAUAAUUGAUAAACAUUUAGCCAGACCCAUCAAGAAAAAAAGAGAGAGGGCUCAAAUCAAUAAAAUUAUAAAUGAAAAAGGAGAAGUUACAAUGGACACCACAGAAAUACAAAGGAUCAUAAGCAAUUACUAUAAGCCAAUAUAUGCCAAUAAAAUGGACAACCUAGAAGACAUGGACAAAUUCUUAGAAAGGUUAAAAACUUCCAAGACUGAACCAGAAAGAAGUAUAAAAUAUCAACAGACCAAUCCCAAGUACUGAAAUUGAAACUCUGAUUGAAAAACUUCCAAUAAACAGAAGUCCAGGAACAGAUGGCUUCACAGGUGAAUUCUAUCAAAUACUGAGAGAAGUUAAUACCUAUACUUCUGAAACUUUCCCAAGAAUUUAUAGAAAGAACACUCCCAAACUCAUUCUAUGAGGCAAAUUAGGCUAUUUGGAGUCAUCCCUUUACACAGACGUAGCAUUUGUAAACUACAAACCUACUCAUUUGUGUAAAUAUCACCAAAGGCUUCAGGUUCAAGUUCAAACUCUAGCAUUCCUUUUUUUUUUUUUUUCCUUCUUUUUACCCCAUUCACAUUUUUGGGCAUCAUCUAUUACUGAAUCUUCCCUCUGUGCCUCUUGCUCUGGUAUUAGUGAUACUUCUAAUUUACCAUGCCUCCAUCUCCAGACCUCCCCACAUUCUGUUCUCCCAAACUACCCUUAAACUCUACCUCUGACUACCCCUCCUUUUUUCUUCAGGAAUGUAGUCCUUUCAGAACCCAUCUCCUCCAGAAAAAUUCCUCUGAUUCAUUCGGCUAGCGUAGAUACAUUUGCUUUUGCUUCUAUAGCACUGUGGAUAUACCAUUUUCACACCUCUAAUCAUAAUCUAGUAGAAUAACUUGUUUUGUUGUUUUUAUGAAAUUUGAGUCCUUCAAAUGUAUUACCUGUGUUUUGUAUCUCUAUCUCAGAACUAAACUGAAUGUUUUCGUAAGUUUUUCAUAUUUAUCAAUUUGCUUAAAAUAGAAUUGAGCUGAGCCUUAAUGUGUUAAAGAACAGUAGCAGUUAAAAAAUAAAAACCAGGGAGUUCCCGUCAUGGCUCAGGGCUUAACGAACCUGACUAGCAUCCAUGAGGACUCGGGUUCAAUCCCUGGCCUCGAUCAGUGGGUUAAGGAUACAGCACUGCUGUGGCAUAGGCCAGAAGCUGCAGCUCCAAUUGGACCCCUAGCCUCAGAACCUCCAUAUGCCAAGGGUCCAAGGGUACAGCCCUAAAAAAUAAAUAAAUAAAAUUUAAAAAUUUAAAAAAAUAAUAAAAAAUAAAAACCAAGUCAGCUUCAGCUUUUAGCACAUACUUGUAGAAGCUACCUUCCUAAGGAAUUAAAUAAUAAGGAAAGGAAAGAUGAGACUUAAGUUUGAUUAGGUAAAAUGAAAGCAGAGUGUGGCAUCCUUGGGGUUUUAUAUGACACAUAUUAGAGGGACGUCAUCUUUGUAAAUGCUAAGCAAAAGCAGAAGAAUCAACUGGGAUGGGAAAACGAGUUAUAAGACUUCUAGUAGAAAGAGAUCCUGAGUUGGAUCAAGCAGAGCAGAUCCAUGGAGCAAAAUACACUUUUAAAAUUAGUAGACACUAUUGUUACACCUGAAAUGAAAACUGACACAUUGGGAAACCCAAAUUCUUUCCCGGAAAAUACUUUCAUAGCUUCUACUGUUAAUAGUUGUAUUAAAAGAGAGUAGUAAAUUAAAUCAAUUCCAAAUCAUAAAAUAAUAGUAUACCUAUAGAAAAUCAAAGUUUAAAAACUAAGUUUAAGAAUGUUUUCUAACUGAUGAGAAGGAAAGAGUGGUAUCAAGUCAAAAGCAAAGAAUUGGGAAGAGGAGCCAGUUUAGAAAAAUGUAAUAGAUUAUUCUGUGUGAGAAGCUUUGAGGCAAAGUAUAUGUUGAGGUCUAUGGAUUAAAAUAUCAGAGAGGUAGGUUAAGAAAGGCUGAAAGUGGAAGUGACUCUGGUCUAUGUGGCUCUUAUACCUCAAUAUUCUAGGAAAGUGGUAUCUUUACCUGCAUUUGUCACCCAAAGUGACCCUUACACAUUAUGGUCUGUUUUUAAAAAAUGUUUUUUGAGAUAUUUUUGUAUAAAUGAUAUAAAUUGAGUUGCUACAGCUUCUCUAUUCUUAUUAGUACCAAUUUUUUAACAGAUAUGACAAAAUCUAGAUAAUCAGUAAAAACAUUCUUUAAUAGUAUCUUUUGGACAUGGCACUCAUUUACACUUUAUAAUUUUUCCUGGAUAUUUGCUAUUAUAAAUUGUUUUCUAUUUUCAAAGUGGCAGCUUAUUGAUUUUUUGGUUUAGCAGAUUGACUUACUGGAAAUAUAAUUUUUGCAUAACUUUUGGGUAGCUAUAUUUCUGCCUCAUUAAAAGUUUUUAGACUUCCUUAAAGCAAAACUUGACAAUUUGUUUUUAUUUUUCAGGAAGAUUUUUAUUAAUUUAGGUGAGUUUGACAAGGUAACACAUAUAACAAUCUUUGGGGAAUUUCCCAUCCAGAUUACAGAAAGAAAAGUAUAAAAUGAUUAUUUUGACAUUUUUCUGCCUGAAUAAAUUGCAAUUAUAACUGAAGAAUUAUUCAAAAUGUUUUAUUUAUUGAUCUAAAUGGCUACUUGUGUAGUUAGAGUACAUAAUUAAUUCUGUAAAGAAUAAAGGCAAAUAAACUCUUCUUUAUUUGAUAACCUGACUACAAAUGUUUAAAAGUCAAAGUUUGACUUAAAUAAUAACCACAGUUCAAGAAAGAUAAAUUCCAUUUAGUUUCUUCUACCUCUAAUCAUACAAACUAUUAUUAAUUAUCAGAAUGAAUCAAAUAAAGUCAUUUUAAAAACUGAAACAUGGUCCAGAUUUUUAGUCUAAUAUCAUAAGCAAUAGAAAGCCAAGAUUUUGUUUCAUUUGAAGUUAUUUCUAAAUUGAAAGACAUGGGUUUACCACAUGCCAGGAAACUUUCUACUUUUUGAAGCUCACAUUCUUCAACUGAAUGACAAAAUGCUUUACCCAAAAAAGGAAUGUUUGUGUUGAUACAACAUGAGCAAAUUAGCUCUUGAUUAAUGUAGUUUACUGAAAAGCCAUUAUUCCUUUAUAAUUUUUUAGAAUUGAGUUUUUUCUUCUUAGAAAAAGUCACUUCUAAGUAAUAGAGAUUAUGGCAAGUUGUGGUAAAUUUUAAAAAAACUGAAAAAUUUUAAAUUGUUGCUUACCUACAACAAUUUCAAAAAAAUAAAAUCCAGUAAUGAUCAUUUUUACUCAUAUUUCUUAAGAUUACAUCAAAAAAGUGAGGGUUUUUUAAAUUUUUCUCAUUCAGGAUUCUUUGAAAUGUGGUAUUACUUUUUGAAAAGUCUUGGUAAUGAAAGGCCUAUAAUUUCAAUGCAUCUGGUGCCAGUUUCCUUAUUUAUGUUACUAUGCUUAUUUAUAUUACUAUGCUUAUUUCCUUAUUUACUGUCACUAAUGCUUUUUAUUUCCUUAUACAGACCUAAAACAUUGUCUACUAUUCUUUUAUUUCAGGGUAAAAGUUCCCUUCAGUAUUUCUUGUAGGGCAUGUUUGCUAGAAAUAACCGCUCUCAAAUUCUGUUUAUGUGAAAAUGUUGAAAUUUAUCUUUCAUUGUUACUGUAUAUAGAAUUCUUAGUUGAUAAUCUUUUGCUCUCAGCACUUUGAAUGUCGCCCCAUUACCUCUUAGCCCUCAUAGUUUUGAUUAAAAGACAUCAGUUAACCUUACUGAGGAUCUUUUAUAUUUGAGGAAUUGUUUUUAUCUUAUUAUUUAAGAUUCUUUUUGUCUUUGUUUUUCAAUAAUUUGACAUUUGAGUUACAGAUAGGAGCCCUCAGUUUAUCCUAUUUGGAGUUUGUUGGGCUUCUUGAGUGUUUAUAUUAAAGUUUUUCAACAGAUUUGGGAAGUUUUCAGCAAUAAUUUCCUCAAAUAGUUUUAUGUUCCUUUCUUUCUCCUUCUGUCCUUCUGGGACUUCCAUUAUGCACAUGUUGGUAUGCUUGUGGUGUCUCACAGAUCUCAAUAGGUCAUGUUCAGUAUUUUUUAUUCAUUUUUUUCUUUCUGUUACACAGACUGGAUAAUCUCAAUUGAUCUAUUUACUUCAACUUUACUAAUUCUUCCAACAGAUCAAAUUUUUUGGUGAGCCCCUGUAAUUAACUUUUCAUUUCAGUUACUGUACUUUUUAAUUGCAUAAUUUCUUUUUAGUUCUUUCUAUAAUUUCUAGGCCUUUAUUGUUAUUGUCUAUUUGGUGGGACAUUAUUCUAAGAUUUCCUUUACAUCCAGAGAAAUGGUUUCCUUUUGUUCUUUAAAUGUAUUUAUUUAUAUAAUUGUUUUGCUUUUUAGGGCCAACCUGUGGCACACGGAACUUCCCAGGCUAGCGGUCAAAUCAGAGGUACAGCUGAUGGCCCAUGCCACAGCCACAGCAAUGCAGAAUCCGAGCUGCAUCUGCAACCUUCACCACAGCUCACAGCAAUGCUGACUACUUAACCUAUAUAAAAUGUAUAUGGAAACAUAAAAUUUCCAUGAAAUUUAUAUGGAAACAUAAAACAUAAAAUUUAUAAGGAAACAAAACAUUCCAAAGCAACCCUGAGGAACAAAAAAAAAAAAACAAAAA
rnacentral:lncRNA from 1 species